UAAGAAGUUUUUGAAUUUGAUUUUUGGAUUUGUUCCUUUCCACAAUGUUCUAGUAAAAAAAAAUGUUCUGGUUAAUUCAGCUUUCCUAGUUGUGUUGUUAACAUAGUAUUCACAGAUGUCAUUAAAAUAAUUUAAAAAUUAUCUCAUUAUCUCAUCCCUGCAGAUGCACAAUUUAUUCCUUCCCUCCUUGAGAUGUUUCUAAUUUGCCUACAAAGUGGGAUUCAGUCCAGCAGCCGGAGAGAACAAUUUAAUCAAAAUGACAGGAACAGUGACAGCCUUUGAGACUUUAUUUACAUCUGGAGAAUGAGUGACCUGAGACAAAAGAACCUGACUUUGGACCUGGGGAGAAACCAAGCACAAGAAAAGGAAAACAUCUCUGGAAUCCUGAUCCAUGUGACCCUGUGUCAAGCCAAGUAGAGUAAUGGUAAUUUAACAGAGCCAAGAAUUCCUAUCAGCCAAAAUUGAUUGCCUGCAGUUACAUCCUAAUCCUAAGGAAAAAAAAGGUGACAUGG